AGCGAACGCUGGCGGCAGGCUUAACACAUGCAAGUCGAGCGGGCAUAGCAAUAUGUCAGCGGCAGACGGGUGAGUAACGCGUGGGGACGUACCUUUUGGUUCGGAACAACACAGGGAAACUUGUGCUAAUACCGGAUAAGCCCUUACGGGGAAAGGUUUAUCGCCGAAAGAUCGGCCCGCGUCUGAUUAGCUAGUUGGUGAGGUAAUGGCUCACCAAGGCGACGAUCAGUAGCUGGUCUGAGAGGAUGAUCAGCCACAUUGGGACUGAGACACGGCCCAAACUCCUACGGGAGGCAGCAGUGGGGAAUAUUGGACAAUGGACGCAAGCCUGAUCCAGCCAUGCCGCGUGAGUGAUGAAGGCCCUAGGGUUGUAAAGCUCUUUUGUGCGGGAAGAUAAUGACGGUACCGCAAGAAUAAGCCCCGGCUAACUUCGUGCCAGCCGCCGCCGUAA
rnacentral:rRNA from 1 species